ACCCCACCUCCACCCAUGCACAAUCAUGCUUUAGAGGGAUCUAACGGCCCCGGGGAGGUUUUCUUCCACAACUCCGGCCGCCCGAUCCGCCUCUGCUUCUGAGAAGAAGCCGACGUAGUCCGUCCACCCCCACCUCCCAGAAUUCACCAGUAGCCUCCUAAUCGACUCCCUCGUCUGUCUCGCACGUCAAUUUGACGAUUUGAGGUUCCUCCGACGAGAUCCAACAUCACCCGAAGCCGCCGCCCGCGGUAGUCGACAUCGCCGGCACUAUGAUGCUCGCCAGCAAGCAAAUCCACCACCCACCGGCCACCGACGCGGAAGAACACCCUGAGGACGUCUGCACCAUCGCCAUCCCUUGCUACACCGUGAUCGCCGCCAGUAACCUCCCCUUCCUUCUCUAUUUCGGUGCAAAGCACGCCCAAGUUCAAACCUGAUGGGUGGGACCCACCCGUCAGACUUCUCUUCUUUUCUAUUUAGUACGAACGCAUAUUUUCAGAGAAUAUGCUUUCUCUAUAGGUAAAGCGUAUUUCCAGCCGGCCGUUUUCUUUUUAUGUUUUAUUUAGAAAAUGCUUUCUCUAUAGGUAAAGCGUAUUUCCAGCCGGCCGUUUUCUUUUUAUGUUUUAUUUAAAAACAUAUUGACCACGACUUUGACUGACUCUAGUUUUUAAACCAUAACUCUAAAUGACUUGAUUCUUUUUCUGACAUCCCUCAUUUUUCGUCUAGUUUGUUUUAGUAUUUAUUUCAAAAAUUUAUGAAACACUUUUUGGUACUGUUUUGGAAUUAUGUGGUAAUUGCAAUAUUUUUGAAAAUAGGUAAAUGGAGGGAAGAUAAAUUUGGCAAAGUAUUGAAGUGCACCCAAUCUUUCUGCAUGCUCAAGGCAAGCAUCUUGAGCACAUGAUAUGGUGAAUGCAUAGUUGUUUGUUUGCAUGUAGAAUUGAAUUAUGAAUAUAUUGAACUCAUAUGAAGUUUGCAUAGUAUUGGUCAUACAUGCAUGAUCCCCCUUGAUGGUAUUUUAUCCUCCUGACAUACAAGUGAGUAGGGUUAUUUUCAUGUACCAUAUGUGCCUGUGUUGGUCCAGGCUAAUUUGCAGGAAGAAUCAGUCACGAGAAAAGUAACCGUGAGACUGAAACCUCGUUGUGACGAGAAUGAUCAGUGAGGGUAUGUUGGGACAUACCGGGUGGUGACCCUGUUGGGUACUGCCAAGGAGUUAUAUUGUGCUAACCGCAGCAGGAAAACUUAAACCUCCUGAGUUGACCAUAGAUCGAGUCUUGUUCCAGUAACCCCCAUACUUGUUUGGUGCUACCACUUGUCCCUGCCACAGGCAGGGUAUGGUUCAGUAAGUUGUUAACCCCUUUCCGUGCACACACUGCAUAGAGAGGCCAUGGUGAAAGAUACCAUGGGCCUCUAGUAGGCAUGUCAUCUGGUCAGGCGGCAUGGGUGUAUACGGUUGGGCCGAGAGGGGGGGCACCCCUUGGAAUCCGCGCGUUAUGGAAUAGUGAUCCCAUGCUAUUCGAGACGAUGGUCUCCCCGUCUUAAGAGUUUUUCUUGAAAGAUGCUUUGGGUGAUUCCUGGCAUCCGAAGAGUUAAUCUGGUGUGUGUUGGUCAGGUGUGUUUUCAACCCAAAGGCCAUAACGGGAAUUAGUCAACGUCUCAGUGUUGGCUAAAGAAAUCCUAUACACGUGGGUAAAGAGUGCACCCUCUACAGAGUUAUAUCUAUUCGAAUAGCCAUGUCCAUGGUUAAGGACUACAGUCUGGGUUGGUCAAGUGUCGGUCUUAGUGUCAGUCUCCGGAGGAAAUAAUUAAAUUGAUCAUGGUCCAUUUUGCAGGAUAAUUAUUGUCACUUCUGGUGUCAUUACAAAUAUUAUUGUUGACAUGAAUAUUGUUGAGGUUUAACCUUUUCCUCUUAUGUGAAAUCUUGAGUAUCUCUUGGGGUGGCUAGACUACCUGAAAUACUCAAGUUUAUUUCUAUUUCUGAGUAUCACUUGAGAUGACUAGUCUACAUGGAUACUCGUGUUAUUAAUGUUUUAUAAGCCCUUUAUGAGGCGUCGCUCAGACACCCGACUGUGGCAUGUAUUUUUAAGACCUCUCGAAGCGUCGCUUUUAGACACAUGUUUGGCAUUUCUUUUGGAAUUUCUCGGGCGGUCCAACGCCCGACGUUCCGUUUCAUUUCUUUGAUUUACUAAUAACAUGAUUUAUUUAUGCUUCCGCACCGUAUGAGUAUUUAUCGUGCCAUGUUUUGAUUUUCAAUCAGCACAUGCAUAUAAUUUACUUUCACAUGAACAUAUACAUUCGGUAUAUCUUUUGUUCAUCAUGUUUGCGAGUACAUUCAAAGGUACUCACUGGCUUGUCCCUGGCUAUUAUCUUGGCUAGAUCAUGGUUCAGAGAGGAGCACUACGACGACACCCCGCAACCUAGGAUUCGAGGAUAGCAGCCACGCGAGAUAGGAAUUAUCUGGCUCAGUUGUUCCCGUGGGAAUGGAGUCCCAUCAACGUUGGAGAUUCACGAGUCACUUCCGUCAUCCACCACUAGAGAUCCUUGCUAUAUGCAUUGGACCUUUAUGGUCUUGUACUCAAUCUGCUGUAAUUGCUUGGAAUGUUGUAUCUAGGAAGUGUCCACUAGCAAACAGUAAUCCUGGGGCUAGUGAUGACACAAAGGUCAUUUGCUGGGAUUAAUAUCCCGAAAACCCGACCCCUACAAGAAGCGUUUACGGAGGCAGCCCAUUAAGGCAUACACACACCAAAACUCCAAACACGCGUAACGUUUUGGGUUUACACUGUAAACAGCUUACGGGGAUUUUUUUUUUUCCGAAACAAACACCUCCUAGCCUCAAUGUCUUCGGGACAUCAAUGUUAAAUCCUUCAUCAAGGAGUUGGAUGAUUUGUUCCGAAAGUCAGUACAAUGCGCUGAGUUAAAAAUCCGAUCGUUACUCACAUGUCGUGUUGGCUUUGAAUCUGUAAAAUGAAUACUCACGCCACAUCACCCCUACAUUUCUUCGGUUUCGCAACAGCACCCCUUUCUGACUAGACUUGACACCAAGAGAAAUGUAUGUAUUGUCAACUCAGGGACUAAACUGGAAACGAGUCCUGUUUUUUUUUUCUACUGCAAAGCAAAUGAGACGGAUUUCAUACGGACGUCACAAAAAGACAUCCGAGCUUGCAGGCUACGG
rnacentral:lncRNA from 1 species